UACGGAGGGGGCUAGCGUUGUUCGGAAUUACUAGGCGUAAAGCGCACGUAGGCGGCCACUCAAGUCAGAGGUGAAAGCCCAGGGCUCAACCUUGGAAUUGCCUUUGAAACUAGGUGGCUUGAACAUAGGUGAGGCGAGUGGAAUUCCGAGUGUAGAGGUGAAAUUCGUAGAUAUUCGGAAGAACACCAGUGGCGAAGGCGACUCGCUGGACUAUUGUUGACGCUGAGGUGCGAAAGCGUGGGGAGCAAACAGG
rnacentral:rRNA from 1 species